ensembl:lncRNA
AAUGGUUAAGGUAAGGUUUAAGGUUAGGGUUAGGUAAGGGUUAUGGUUAUGGUUAAGGCUAGGGGUUAGGGUUUAGGGUUUAGGUUUAGGAUAGGGAUGUCCCGAGGAUUCUGGUUAGCACUGACCAUUCUCAUUAGCCAGAUGUAGUUUGUUGUUAAUCUGUCAAGAAGUAACCCUUAACCAGGUUGCAACUAUGUUUUGUAUGUGUAUGUAAACCUUGUCUGUGCACAAUUGUCACCUUAGCUUUGAGCAGCCUGACGUUGUUUUGGAUUCUCUGCUUCCCUUUGAGGGCAUGCUUUUGUGAGCAUACUCAGCUCAGAGUUGGAUCUAAAGUGAAAUGUUUAAACCCCCAGCUCCUCCAGUCACUCACAAACAACAGGAGACCCAGAAGCAGCAGGAGACCAAAGAGGCCCAGAAAGAGACAGUAGAAAGGAAGACAGUAGUCGAAGCCCAUGUCUCGGAGCCAGCGACCCCUAUUGCUCCUGCCACCCCCAAAACGGAUCCCCAGAAGGAGACAUUAGAGAAGAAGACCGUAGUAGAAGCCUCUGCCUUUAAGCCUGCUGCUCCUGCCACCCCCAAACCGGAGCUCCAGAAGGAGGAGACCGUAGAAAAUAAGACUGUUGCAGACACUCAGGCCGUGAAGCCUCCUGCCGCCCCCAAACUGGAACCCGGGAAGGAGACAGUAGAGAUGAAGACAGUAGUAGGAGCCUCUGGUAGGAAAAUAUGAGCUGGCUGUUGUCUGUUGAGCUCCUACCUGUGCAUUGUCUGUCACAUCAUACUGUGUUUCUCAAUGUAGACUCAGAAAGCUUGGAUCUUUGCUCUUGAUUCAAGUUGUACUGUAUGUGGUGAACAGUGUAGAUAUAUUCUUUCUGAAGGCAAGUUGUGUCACAUAGUCUUUCUGUAGCCCUUCAGCUAGCUUCCCUUAUCUUGUGGCUUCGGCUGGUUUGUC